GAUGAACGCUGGCGGCGUGCCUAAUACAUGCAAGUCGAGCGAACGGACGAGAAGCUUGCUUCUCUGAUGUUAGCGGCGGACGGGUGAGUAACACGUGGAUAACCUACCUAUAAGACUGGGAUAACUUCGGGAAACCGGAGCUAAUACCGGAUGAUAUUUUGAACCGCAUGGUUCAAAAGUGAAAGACGGUCUUGCUGUCACUUAUAGAUGGAUCCGCGCUGCAUUAGCUAGUUGGUAAGGUAACGGCUUACCAAGGCAACGAUGCAUAGCCGACCUGAGAGGGUGGUCGCCCACACUGGAACUGAGACACGGUCCAGACUCCUACGUGAGGCAGCAGUAGGGAAUCUUCCGCAGUGGGCGAAAGCCUGACGGAGCAACGCCGCGUGAGUGAUGAAGGUCUUCGGAUCGUAAAACUCUGUUAUUAGGGAAGAACAUAUGUGUAAGUAACUGUGCACAUCUUGACGGUACCUAAUCAGAAAGCCACGGCUAACUACGUG
rnacentral:rRNA from 1 species